rnacentral:lncRNA from 1 species
AUAAACUUUUAUGAGUGCAUGACUUGUCCCGCACUCUGAUGAAUCUAUUUACAUAAUGAUAAAAGUGGCCUUUUUUUUAUUUUGUUAUUUUGUAUUUUGCCACCACUUCUGGCAUCACAUAUAUAUGUAAUUGGGAACUCAUAUAUUUUGUGAAGGAUUUGUACUUAAUUGUUCCACUGUAUACAUUUAUCUAUCAUGCACUCGUAAUCUGUUUUUGUAUCUGGCACUCUUAUACUUUAAUUAGUAUUUGGGAUGUCACAAAUGGUAUCCGAGCAGUUACGUAGAAUAAUCCCCUUACAAUUGAGGUUAUAGUUAGGAAACCCAUCUAAGAUAAUUAAUAAAUAUGUCAUCUUUCAAAAACUAGACCACCAACUCGUAUCAUCUUUUUCUUUUAUAGGAAUAACGCGAUGAAGACCUUCUAUAGAGCGUACCGAAAAACCUAAGGCCCAGGAUCAUCCGACUAAGGCGAGUUUACUGAACUCUUCCGAGCCAUCCAGGGUCUAACCGCAACCGUAGGAAAAACCCAACCCAACCCUUAUCAAUAUCCUCCUGUCCCUGACUACCAACUAGCUGAGAGGUUUAUCUCCUAUAACAUAGUAGAAUUUAGGAAACUUAACGUACCCCAUUUUCAAGCAGGCUCCGAUCCCUUAGUAGUUAAAGCUUGGAUCUUGCAGAUAGAGAAACUUUUCUCUGUAUUAGACCUAACUGAUGAACAAAAAGUCCCCCUAGUAACCUUCAUACUAACCGGUAAAGCUGAACAUUU